GACGAACGCUGGCGGCGUGCUUAACACAUGCAAGUCGAACGGAAAGGCCCUGCUUUUGUGGGGUGCUCGAGUGGCGAACGGGUGAGUAACACGUGAGUAACCUGCCCUUGACUUUGGGAUAACUUCAGGAAACUGGGGCUAAUACCGGGUAGGAGCUCCUGCUGCAUGGUGGGGGUUGGAAAGUUUCGGCGGUUGGGGAUGGACUCGCGGCUUAUCAGCUUGUUGGUGGGGUAGUGGCUUACCAAGGCUUUGACGGGUAGCCGGCCUGAGAGGGUGACCGGCCACAUUGGGACUGAGAUACGGCCCAGACUCCUACGGGAGGCAGCAGUGGGGAAUAGUGCACAAUGGGCGGAAGCCUGAUGCAGCAACGCCGCGUGCGGGAUGACGGCCUUCGGGUUGUAAACCGCUUUCGCCUGUGACGAAGCGUGAGUGACGGUAAUGGGUAAAGAAGCACCGGCUAACUACGUG
rnacentral:rRNA from 1 species